GUGUUCACUUUACCAGCACACAUACUAACACUGGAGUGACAUGGAGAAGAUUUGCAUGGCCCCUGUGCAAGGAUGACAUACAAAUUUGUGAAACAUUUCGUAGCUGU
ensembl:snRNA U6 U6 spliceosomal RNA